UUUGAAUCCUUUGUUUCUCCACCUAGAAAGUUUCUACCUACCUUAUGUAUCCUUCCCGAUAUUAUUGCAUCUAGUUCUGGACUGGGUUUCUUAACUUUCCACCUUUGCCAGCUGCUACCCAGUAUCAUUAAAAUAUUAACAUUUAGCCUUGCUCAAUGGACCUGUAGUCUAUGGUUCAGUCUAUAAUUUGAUACAGCUCCCUCCAGCCCUUCUGAGUCUAAAACACAUUCCAAUUCCUCUGUUUUCCAGGCUUAUUUUGCCAUCAGUAACUCCUUCCUGUUCCCCCAGCCAUGAGUGAAUAUGCUGAAUGAGGACCUUUUACUGUAAGGAGUUCUUCUCUCAAUGUGUGACCUGCCCUGUCUAUCACCAGUGGGUAUCUGAGCUUAAGGCCUCUGUAAUGAGAUGUGAAAAGAGAGAAUUGAUGUCCCUGACUAACAGCAUCAGACCUUUUGACACCUGCUUGACCAGGAUUUGGAUAAAAGGAGAAUUUCUGCAGGAAAAUAACUCUUAGAAAAGAAACUUAGGAAUACAGAGUAAGCAUUUCUUCCUGGAAGCCUUGUGUGAGAGACAUAAAGACAGUCUCAGAUUCUUACUCACAAGCAGAUUUGACAGAGUGGCUGAUGUCAAGGAGAACAAGGAUGCAGAAGAAACUCAAGAUGUAUGUAUUAAAACAAAAGAACAAUAACCUGAAGGGACCAUGAUUCUGUUAUUGUAUAUAACACAAGGAAAUGCCCCAGAUUCUCCUUUAAAAGAUAUAAUGUACAUAUUAAGUAUACUAGCCUUUAUAGUUACUGCUAUCUACAUGUUU
rnacentral:lncRNA from 1 species